UACGGGGGGAGCAAGCGUUGUUCGGAUUUACUGGGCGUAAAGGGCGCGUAAGCGGCCACGACAAGUCAGUUGUGAAAUCUCUGGGCUUAACUCAGAACGGUCCACUGAUACUGUCGGGCUAGAGUGCAGAAGGGGCAACUGGAAUUCUCGGUGUAGCGGUGAAAUGCGUAGAUAUCGAGAGGAACACCUGCGGCGAAGGCGGGUUGCUGGGCUGACACUGACGCUGAGGCGCGAAAGCUAGGGGAGCGAACGGG
rnacentral:rRNA from 1 species